rnacentral:rRNA from 1 species
UACGUAGGGGGCAAGCGUUGUCCGGAUUUAUUGGGCGUAAAGAGCGUGUAGGCGGCCUGACAGGUCUGCUGUGAAAACUCGAGGCUCAACCUCGAGAUGUCGGCGGAAACCAUCUGGCUAGAGUCCGGAAGAGGAGAAUGGAAUUCCCGGUGUAGCGGUGAAAUGCGCAGAUAUCGGGAAGAACACCCGUGGCGAAGGCGGUUCUCUGGGACGGUACUGACGCUGAGACGCGAAAGCGUGGGGAGCGAACAGG